CGCGUAGGUGGUUGCGUAAGUCGGAUGUGAAAUCCCCAGGCUUAACCUGGGAACUGCACCCGAUACUGCGUGACUCGAGUGCAGCAGAGGGAAACGGAAUUCCUGGUGUAGAGGUGAAAUUCGUAGAUAUCAGGAGGAACACCGGUGGCGAAGGCGGUUUCCUGGGCUGACACUGACACUGAGGCGCGAAAGCGUGGGUAGCAAACAGGAUUAGAUACCCUGGUAGUCCACGCUGUAAACGGUGAGUGCUGGGUGUGGGAGGUGUAAUGCCUUCUGUGCCGAAGCUAACGCGUUAAGCACUCCGCCUGGGGAGUACGGCCGCAAGGUUGAA
rnacentral:rRNA from 1 species